GACGAACGCUGGCGGCGGGCUUAACACAUGCAAGUCGAACGGAAAGGCCCUGCUUUUUUGGGGUGCUCGAGUGGCAAACGGGUGAGUAACACGUGAGUAACCUGCCCUUGACUUUGGGAUAACUUCAGGAAGCUGAGGCUAAUACCGGAUAGGAGCGCCUUCUGCAUGGUGGGUGUUGGAAAGUUUCGGCGGUUGGGGAUGGACUCGCGGCUUAUCAGCUUGUUGGUGGGGUAGUGGCUUACCAAGGCUUUGACGGGUAGCCGGCCUGAGAGGGUGACCGGCCAAAUUGGGACUGAGAUACGGCCCAGAGUCCUACGGGAGGCAGCAGUGGGGAAUAUUGCAUAAUGGGCGGAAGCCUGAUGCAGCAACGCCGCGUGAGGGAUGAUGGCCUUCGGGUUGUAAACCGCUUUCGCCUGUGACGAAGCGUGAGUGAAGGUAAUGGGUAAAGAAGCACCGGCUAACUACGUG
rnacentral:rRNA from 1 species